UGUAUUAAAAAAUAUAUUUAAUUUAAUUUAAUUUAAGCUAUCUAAUUUUUGACUACUUGAUGUAUAGACUAAGGGUCUUUUAAUCAUAUGAUUUUUUGUAUGCAAGUAGUUUUGAGGUAGGAGGUCAUAUUCAAUAACUUGAAUCAUUGAUAUAGGAUUUCUAUUAUAGAGUUUUGAUCUGACCAAAUCAGAACUCAAAUUCGGACGAUCUAAUUCUAGUCUGGCUCUCUCUCUCUCUCUCUCUAUAGGUGUAUGUGUAGAGGCAGAUUUGAAUAAAAUCAAUUGGAUUUGAGCUCAAAUUUGAUCAGAUCAAAACUGGACAAAUGGAGUUCUAUAUCGAUGAUUUACGCCGUUGGAUAUGAUCUACUACUUUAAAACUGCUUGCACAUCAAUAAUCAUAUAAUUUGAGAACCCUUAGGCUAUGCAUCAAGUGAUUAAAAAAUAUAUCUAAUUUAAUUUUAUUUAGACCGUCUAAUUUUUGACUACUUGAUGCAUAGGUUAGGGGUCUUUAAAUCAUAUGAUUUUUUAUGUGCAAGUAGUUUUGAGAUAGUAGAUCAUAUUUAAUGGUUUGAAUCAUUAAUGUAGAAUCCAUAUUAUAGAGUUUUGAUCUGAUCAGAUCUGAGUCCAAAUCUGAUCGAUUUGAUUCUACUCUGAUUCUCUCUCUCGAUAUAUAUAUAUAUAUAU
rnacentral:lncRNA from 1 species